GGUGUCGACCUCAAGAAGGAUCGCUGGUGGGUCGUUUUUCUCGGCCUCUUUCUCUUCACGUCCUGAACUCAGUCUCUUCGGGACUCACUUCCACGCUCUCCUAGUCUCUUUGGCACUCACAUCCACGUGGCGCUUUAGCCAGCCCUUCCUUCCCAGCCCCCUUGCUGCACCUCGAGCCGGCUCUUCCUCCACCUGGGCAGGGCGGCCGGGGCCCCAGAUGCGCUCCAAGCCUUGAUUCCUGUCUGCCUUAUCCUAGUAGGGGUUUUCCCCUCCUCUAACUUUCCACGUUCGUCUGGUUCCAAGUCAAGACUCUCCUGCAGCAACUGUCAAGCCCCUCUCGGUUCCCUGGCACUCUCCUGCGUUGUUUCUUAACUGUAUAAUGCACAGGAUAAACCUUAAACCGAAGGCUGUCUCCUGCGAGGACCAGAAGUUGAGCCAAGGCACAUGGAACUUACAAUAGCAGAUGGUAAGAACCAGGGCAGAAGGAGAACUCCUGAAGCCUCCGAAGGAAGGAAAUCAUUACAGGGCCCUACAGAAGUAGGUCAUGUGCUACAGCUGCUCAUAGUUUAAGAGGAAGAAACAUGGGAUCUCAAACCUGGAACACGACUCUUUCAAAAUGCUUGUGAGCAACCCAAGAAAAACAUCCUCCUGAGGCUUAUCUAAUAACCAUGAUCUCUAAUCGUCUCAAUGUGUGCUCAUGUUUCCUUAGGAGUUUGCACCCACUUCUCAGAGCUAACGAGAUGCCGAAACAGAACACAGAAAAAAGUAAUGAAGGAGAUUUAAUAGUUUGUGUUAAAGCUAAUAUGGUCCAUUAGGGGCUGUCAUUUUUAUAAACAGUGAGGAUACGUUACCCUCUUCUUUGGUGUAAAGUCAUUCCGUGCAGGACCUGUAAACAUUCAGUAAUGAUCUGUAGAACAUGCAUGAACGACAAUUAAAGCACCACUUGAAAAGUCUGUUUUCCUCACAUAUUUGUUUUCUUGCUAAAUAAACUUGUAAAGUUCAUA
rnacentral:lncRNA from 1 species